UUUUUUUUUUUUUUUUUUUCCCUUAUCUCAUUCAAGAGGUGGGCGUGUUUGUUUGCACAUCAAUUACUCUGUGAUGCAUUGGGUUACAAACACAGUAAAGGCAGCAGCAAAACGCAAGCUAGUCGAUUGCUUUUGUUUUGAAUGCAUGGGGGUACUAGACACAUUGCGAAUGGGAUAUCUCAGCGGUGAAAUGACGGAUUCGAAAAAUUCCUUCGCUGUUUGACGAAAACUACAUUUAUAAAUCGAUAUGGAUCACUUAAGAGCGGUAUAUCGCUACCUCAGCACAGGUGAGUAUCCUGAAAAAGCCACCAAAGAAGAGAAGAGGGGUAUCAGAAAGAAAGCCAGUACAUUCGUUUUGAAAGCUGGAUCUCUUACUCCUUUCCCGAGCUGUGAGAGAACUCCCCUCCCAGAGGUACAUUUCUGUGAUGUGGAGGUCUACUGCACAUGCAGGAGACCAUACAGGAUUGGACUGGAGCUGAUGGUGGAAUGCGGGAGGUGUGGCGAAUGGUUCCAUGGCCAGUGUGAAGAUCUACAGCCAGAUGACCUCAUAAGUAUGGAGGAGUAUAUGUGCUGCAUUUGCAGAGUUACACACAUGGGUAAGCAUGUAAGUAAAGGUGAAACAGAUUUAUUAUUUUGUUUUUUACUAUAUGUUUUUUUGAACAUUUUAUACUAAGCAUUCCAGCUUAGUAUUAUACUAACACUAAAAUUUGGUAAUGCCUGUCAAACAACUUUACCAUAAUUUAUAACUAUUUACAUAUGUACAGUAGGGCAUUGUUAAUAAGGCUCAUUGUCUUCAGUGUUUAUUUUUCAUGAACACACAACUACUUAUUUUGAAGACUUUUUUUUUCAGGAGACCUUGGUUCUGUAUUGAGACGUUUUUAUUUGGAGAAAUAUUGCAGAUGCUUUUGCACUUUCAUUUUUAAUUGGUAUGGUAGUCUUAGUUUCUGAGCUACUGAAUUAUUGCCUGACUUGAGUAUUUCCAGGGCAGAGAUAUCCAAAGUAAACUGGAUGUCAGUUCUAACACCCACCUUGUUUUAAUGUAGUUAUUGUGAACCAGCUGGGGGAGGGGUUGAUUCACUGUAUUGAAGUGAAUUUGUGCCAAAUAAGGUGGGUGUAACAUGAUAUAAAAGUACAGUAAAUGUAAUUCUGAAGUAAUAAACAACUUCACAUUUUACAUGUGCAUGUUACAGACAGUACAUGUAAUGCUUCAAUUUCAAAUUCGAUUUCCAUUCCUAUUAAAUGAUAUUAGACAAUUACGUACUAUACAAGUUAACAGUAUGAAAUGUCAUUUUUAGACAGACAGCCUCUUUAAAGUCUUUCUUUUUUUGUGGGUUAUGUGAGAAGGCAUUUUAAAGUUCUGUUAAACCUGCUCCUAACACCCCACUCCAUAGGUCAGGACCUUGACGUGGUGAGUGGGCUUUUUACCAAAGCUGACCUACAGUAUAGCUUUUUUUUCACCACUGCUUACGCAUUAAGUCCUGGAUAGCACUUUACAAUGGAAAUAUGCAAUCUGAUCAUGUACUGAUCAUGUUUUAUUGUGAAGAAUACAGAAAAUAAAGUUUGUUACAUUUUUCAA